GUUGCCAUAGCAGCCACUGCCACUUCCUGUACUCAUCCGGGACAGCAGCUCAGCUGGGUCUGGGUUCAGGCCCUGAGAAGCAGGCAGUGGAGUUCUACAGCGCUAUGAAAGCAUCGUAAGGACCGCACAAACCAGCUGAGUUGGGGCCUCACUCUGUAUCCCUGGCUGGUCUGAAACGUCAAGAGAUCCAUCUGCUCUGCCUCCUGAGUGCUGGGAUCAAAGGCGUGGACCACCACCCUUGGCCUUCAUUCACCUUUGGACGAAGGGUGACACUCUUAGGUGGAUGCACACUCAUCAGCUGGAAUGAACCAGAGGAUACACAGCACUGAGGUCACUGGUUUCUAAGGCAACUGCUUACUGGUGUUUCUGCUCUUGGCUUUCUGAACCUCCCAGCACAGACCAUCUGAAGUAAUCUUCGUAGAUCAACUAGAACAACAGGCGGGCUCCUGAUCACAGCCCACAGAACGCUACUGUAGGCUGCCUGCUCUCCUCUCUGCCUCUCCCCUCUCACUUGCUGCUCCUCAACUAUUGCCCCAUUUCCAGAUCUUAUUCAAAUGUGCUGAGCAUGCCCUUAAUUUGGGACUUUUCAUCUUUGCUUUUCCCUUGGGCACCCAGUUCUCUUGUUGGUUCUGGUUGCCUUCUCCGCAUUACAAGCUAAUACAAGUCUCUGCAUUAAUGAUCCUCUAACCAUUCUUUUUCUAUUUUAUCUCUUUCACAGUACUUGUUGGUGCCUAAAAUGAUCUCCUAUGUGUUUGCUUUCUAUUUCUAUCCGUGUUAUGCGCUAAAUUAAUGUCCAUCCAAAUAAAGUCCUCGAUUUGGCUUGGAGGAGCUCGGUUAAAAAUAUUUCCUCUGCUACAUGCUUAGGGUGGACAUGGCAAUGACUUUGACCAAGGAGCUAGAAACGGGAAUGUCUGGGUGAGACAUCUAUAAAGGCUAAUUAAAGAGAAGAGCCAUCUGGGA